UUUUUUCUACGCAACUAUGUUUUUUUUAUGUAUUACUAUAUCUGUUCAUUUUUUCUUUAUGUAUUCAUGAACUUGUAUGUAUGUAUGUAUGAUGUGUGUUCAUUGUUUUUUUUUCUUUCUCUUUUUUCUUUUUAUAAUUACUUAUAUUUGAUUGAUGAUGAUAAAGUACAUUGUGUUUGUGUUUAAUCAAAUUAUUUGCUUUGUACUUGUGUCUUAUUCAUAGUUUG
rnacentral:lncRNA from 1 species